GAUCUUUAAAUUUGUUGAACCAUGGAUUGGGCAAUCAUAAAUCUAUAAAGAUCUCUUCACUUAUAAUCUUGUUCUACUGAAAGUGCCUACACAAUCACAAAGGAUGAAUUCAAGGCUUACAAGAGUUUAGCAGCUUACAACCAGUUCCUAGAUGGUUGGGUUCAAGAUAUUAUGGCUUUUAAACCACUAGCAAAGGUUCUUCACUCUCAGUGGUUAGCAGAAAAGGUACUGCAGCCCUGGAUAAGUCGAGAUGGUAUUAUUCUAUCAGCCCACUGUUUUUGUACAGUUGGACUUGGAGAGUCCUGCACUCAUGUGGCAGCCACUUUAUUUAUGCUGGAAGCCAACACCAGUAAGACAGUUAGUUACAGGUUGUCAUCUUACUGGAUAAAUCCAUCAGAGCUUAAAAAAGUUUUGCCAACUAAGGUUUCUGAGAUUGACUUCACCUCAUGAAAAACAAAAAGUUAAAUUUGAUUCUCUUGUGAACAACAUCACUUCUAAAAAUAAAA